rnacentral:rRNA from 1 species
GAUGAACGCUAGCGGGAGGCCUAACACAUGCAAGCCGAGCGGUAGAGUUUCUUCGGAAACUUGAGAGCGGCGCACGGGUGCGUAACACGUGUGCAACCUACCUUUAUCUGGGGGAUAGCCUUUCGAAAGGAAGAUUAAUACCCCAUAAUAUAAUGAUUGGCAUCAAUUAUUAUUGAAAACUCCGGUGGAUAGAGAUGGGCACGCGCAAGAUUAGAUAGUUGGUGAGGUAACGGCUCACCAAGUCAAUGAUCUUUAGGGGUCCUGAGAGGGAGAUCCCCCACACUGGUACUGGGACACAGACCAGACUCCUACGGGAGGCAGCAGUGAGGAAUAUUGGACAAUGGGUGAGAGCCUGAUCCAGCCAUCCCGCGUGAAGGAUGACGGUCCUAUGGAUUGUAAACUUCUUUUGUACAGGGAUAAACCUACCCCCGUGAGGGUAGCUGAAGGUACUGUACGAAUAAGCACCGGCUAACUCCGUG